rnacentral:rRNA from 1 species
CCUACGGGAGGCAGCAGUAAGGAAUAUUGGACAAUGCCCGCAAGGGUGAUCCAGCCAUGCCGCGUGCAGGAAGAAGGCCCUAUGGGUCGUAAACUGCUUUUACACCGGAGAAAACCUCCCUUCGUGAAGGGAGCUGAUAGUAUGGUGAGAAUAAGCAUCGGCUAACUUCGUGCCAGCAGCCGCGGUAAGACGAAGGAUGCAAGCGUUAUCCGGAUUCAUUGGGUUUAAAGGGAGCGUAGGUGGACUGAUAAGUCAGUGGUGAAAUCUUCGAGCUUAACUCGGAAAUUGCCAUUGAUACUGUUAGUCUUGAGUACAGUUGCUGUGGGCGGAAUAUGACAUGUAGUGGUGAAAUACAUAGAGAUGUCAUAGAACACCGAUUGCGAAGGCAGCUCGCAAAGCUGUAACUGACACUGAGGCUCGAAAGUGGCGGGAGUACAACGAAGAGUAGUAUACCGUACGGUACGUACCGCGACCGUAACGUAACGUAGUAUUACUCGUCUCGUCGUAGAGGGACGUAACGUUUAAGUU